ensembl:lincRNA
AUGACUUUUGUCGUUUUCAACCUAAACCAAUUUUUGUCUAUUUCAAAUGCAUCUGAUGAAGCACCCUCCACAGACCAAGGUACUGAAGACCCCAAGACUGUUCACCUCUUCUCAGCUGAGUUCGUUGCUUCCCUGCCGCUGCCCCCUACUUGCCCGCUGAUGAGAUGGUUAAAGCGCAUGUCUGCUGCUGCUGCUAAGUCACUUCAGUUGUUUCCGACUCUGCGCGACCCCAUAGAUGGCAGCCCACCAGGCUCCCCCGUCCCUGGGAUUCUCCAGGCAAGAACGUCUAGGUAUGAUUUAUUGCGUUGUCUCCCCAGACAGGUUUUCUCUCUUUUUCUUGCUUGGCAUGCCGCCCUAUUUCCUCUUGAUUUCCUCCCUUCUGCAGGGGGAUCAGACCAUCUGAGCCCUAAGGCCGUGCCAUGGUGUCAUAGAGAGCUGUUCUCCACCUUCUAUCUCCUCUCGUCCUCAGUGUUCCUGGCACUGCAGCAGCGCUUGGACCCUCCGACACCCUCCACUCGCCCAGCAGCUCAGCUCUUGGGGGUCGGUGGUGACUGGCUCCUGAGCUUGCUGAGAGGCAGGGGCAGUGACGAGCCCCCCGCAUUUUGCAGCCUCACGUCCCCUCCAGUCCACCCGGAGCCAGGCCCGGGUACAGAGGCCCCGGGCGCCAGGUGCUGGCUCUUGGGUCCCUGCCAGGAGGCGCCGCGCGUCCGCAGGUGCCCACUCAGUGAUUUCUCUGGUUCACUAGUGUCCAGUGAUGGGAACACGGCGGGCCGUCAGGGCCUGAAACAGGCUAGAAACAGGCCCUGGAGGACGAAGGAGAGGCUCCUCAGGCCCCGCUGCCCGCAGGAGGGAGAGGAGGCCUCCCGGGACCUCAGUUCCAGGACAAUGAGGCUCCUCCGUGUCUUCCUCACCGCUCUCUCGAUCCUCUUCCAGGUACUGCCCGGUAAAUACCUGCCACAAUGCCCUUUCUUAUCAUUACUUGGUUUUUCCAUCCCUGAGUCAACCAUCAUCAGAAAGUAAAGCGUGACAGAGCUACUAGUAGGUCACUUCCACACCCCAAAUUAGGCAUCGAGUGAUGAGAGAAUUCUUCCAAAGCAUGUUGUUGUGUCUUCAUGACUUUAAGUGUCUUGUUGGUGGUAACCUUCUCCCUCUUCUCCUUUCCCUGCAAUAAGCUGGAUGAUUUGUGAACUAAGUCAGUUGAAUCACUUGGUUGGUAUAACCCAGUAUGAGACAAACUUCCUUUAUUCAGCCCCAGACCGGAGACCUCUUGCCACACAUCAGGGUAUGACCUUGAGUUCCACUGGACAAGGCCUCCAUCUGACAAGCCUGUGAGAGCUGGGUGGGUUUUGCAUGAUGGGGAGGUGGGGUCACUGGUGAGGCACACGGGGCAGUGGUUACUGACCCUGUGGUUAACACCCAGGUGUUCCUGUGGCUGGAAGGAGAUAUAUAUAUAUAUACAUAUAUAUAUAUAUAUAUAUAUUUUUUUUUUGGCUGUGCUGGGUCUUCGUUGCUGCGCGGGCUUUCCCCUAGUUUUGGAGAGUGCAGGCUACUCUCCAGUUGCAGGGCACAGGUUUCUCAUUGCAGGGGCUUCUCACUGUGGAGCCCGGGCUCCGGAGCACAGGCUCACGGUGGUGUCUCAGGGGCUUACUUGCUCCCACACGUGGGAUCUUCUCGAACCAGGUUCAUCAGCAACACUGACAUCUUACGUCAGAGCAGAGGGUGAGGGAUACGAGGGGGAUGUUUGCUAUUGGUGUUUAGCUGGGAAAGAAGGGGAUCCCAGUCAGGUGGUGAGACCCCCAGAUUUCCUCAUGGGACUUCCAUAAGGCUUCAUAUAAAUGUCUUUUCCUUUUCCAGAUAGCACUAGGGCGCUCAAUUUUGAAAGACCCUGCUAUCUUCGGGGUGGAAUCUGCCUGAAGCAAGGGACGCCGAGCUGUGAGCCCUUCAGAGGACCUUGCGGGCAUUCACCGUUUGCUGCAAAAUAAAGCCGAGCUGAUGGAGGCAGCCCAGCUGAGGAACCUGGCGAGAGACCCAGAGCAAUCUCCUCUUGUGCUAAUAAAAGCAGACAGUUCUCACAUCUACACAAUCAACUAUUUUAUCAUUAGGACUGAUUAAAGUUGUUUCCAGGGUAGGCAGGGUAGGCAAUGGGAGGGAAACAGUUAUAAGAAUUAAAUUUAUAUUAUGCUUUAAAUGUUGCAAAGUGUUUCAUUCACAGAGCAAAUGUGACCCUUAGGCCACUUUGGCCCGAGGCUGGAGUCCUGAGAGAGGUGCGCUCAUUUGGUGUCUUCCUUGUUCACUUGUCUUGUCCAAGGCAUGGCCCCUGCUGUAGUUUGCUGAGUAGGCCGCCUCUCCAUACAGGUGUCACUCUCCUCCCUCUGGGGAGGGAGCAGGCCUUGACAGGAUCACAGCUUUCUGCAGUUUACAGAGCAGGUUUAGGGCGGGAGGAUGGAGACAGGAUGCAAGGUGCCCAGGAAGCGGGGGACAAAGAGAAGGACAAGAGACACGAGUGUUUUUCCAAAACCUGAACAAUCUCACGGGAAAGAAAGAGUGUGACUGGCAUUGCGGCGAUGUGACGAGGACCAGUUCUAUAACUGGGUCCCAAUCAGUGAAUAAUUAAAGAUAAUUCAGAGCAGGCUUGCAGAUGAACAAUGGGCAAUGACCAGUGUACAUCCGUGUCUGUAAAGAUAUCCAGAAACAGAUACAAAUGUAGUUUCUCCAACUGUUCUCCCUGUAUGGUCUGCCGGCCGAGGUCAUCACAGAACUUUGAGUAUGCCUUGUGUCUGCGAUGUUGGCCCACUGUAUGCUCUAUCAGAACAGCUUAUCUUCCAUUACUGGAACGGGCUUCUAAUUUUUCCAUAAAACAAAUAAUGCAUACUGACUCUUUACAAAAUAUCCUGAGUCUAAAAAUUAUAUUUAACACCCCAUUAUAAUCCAGUUCAUGCUUCCUUUAAAGCAUAAAAUAGUUUUUCUCCAAAUAGAUCAUCAAUCAGCUCUGCAUGAUUUAUUAAAGGAACAGCUCGCUUCCCCUCCUCCCCCUGCCCCUGCCACUCAUGUAAAGGUCACUUUUUAUCAUAAACUAGCUGUCAGUGUCUGCAUAGUCUGUUUGUGACUGCUGUUUUUUGUCUCAGGGAUUCUUUUUUAAUUCCUCUGCCAAUGCCACGUAUUUUGAGCCUAGCCAUCAUCAUAGAUUGUAGAACUGGUAGUGAAAGUCACCAUGUUGCUCUUUAUAAACAAUUUUAUAUAUUCUUGCACACAUUUUCCUUUUACAAGGAAUU